UCUCUUCCACGCACACACGCCCCCCGCUUCCCGAGCUUAGAGCGCUAGGGGUUUAGGCCUCCCGCAGCCUCCGUCGGCUAAGCCCGGCGAGGCCGCCGCCGCCGCCGCCGCCCCGACGCUAAGCCCCCCUAAGCGGGCUAGCCCCUCGAGCGCCCGCCCUAAGCUCGAACGCUAAGCACCCCGCUCGCUCCGCCCGCCCGCCCGCCUCGACACCCUCCACCCGGGCUCGCCCCGCCAACUGGCCCGGACACAUCCACCCCACCCACCUACGACAGGCACGCCUCCGCCGUCCUCCUACGACCGCCGCGGCGGCCGUACCGCCUGGUGCGGCUCGACCUCCUCCCCCUCCGGAUGCCGCUGCUGUACGGGGGGAAGCUGCUGGGGCUGCAGUGGGAGCGAAUGUAACUACUUUUUGAUGUUUUACAUGAUCCGGUAAAAGUUUUCCUGAAACUUCCUCCGCAAAGACGUCUCUUAGAUCCUAGUUUUAAACCACCUAUACCGAGUAAAAACGGUUGGAUGGUCGCAAGGGGGGAAGACGGGGUGUGAUCUUGCGGUGGAUUCCACCGUUUACGAUCGAGUUCUAGAGGAAUAGUGGUCAGAUGACUCCUACACAGAGUCUUGGGAGGCCGAUACCGGCAAGGUAGACAAAGGGUCUUAUUACCAAGCCACCGAGGAAAAAGACCACUAAGUUAAUUUUUCCUUUCUACGCUUUCGUGUCGCAGAUUUUCCCCGAGACCGUGGGUACUAGGAAGUUUACCGGGUAGAUUCAGAUCGCUGGUCUUAUCUAAAUUUCAUGCCUAUUUUCAACCAAGGCUGUUACAGAACCGUUCUUUAUUACGUCGAUAAAUGUCACCAAACCCGGAACUGUAAAGAAGUGGAAGUAGGCACCUCCUUUCGGGACUACCGGUGCCCCCGGAGAGGGGCCUUAAAUCGUUACACGUUGAACUUAGAGGGGCCUGGUAAGAAGUCUAGUACUGUACGAAAAGUCAAGGACCUCCCAUGAACAAUAGGGGAGAAGUACCGUCAAACAACGUUGACUGUUUCUUCCAACAAGGAAGUAACUUCUUUACCCUUUGUUCGAACCUCUAUCUUUUACGUGUCCUUCGUAUACUUCCCGUACACCAAUUCUUUUACUUCAGACUACCAUUCUUUUUCUUUGGGUGUCUACACUUCUCCAGUUUAUUGUCUUUGCUACAGUCACGUAAAUACUUUUUACUCUAGCUACAUCUUUGUGAACGACCGGUCUUCUAACGUAGUCUUCGAGAGUCGUAUGGCAGAUCAGGGUCUCCGUACCUACGUUUGUCGUUAACAGUUAAACUUCUUCUUCGUUGUCCUUUUAGAAACCUUUCUUUGUUUCUACUAGCUAACUUUCUUACCCGACAUUUGUCGUUGUCGUUCUGUUAGUUUCGACUUUGACCGUUUCUCCUCUGAUGGCUGACAAAUCGUUCACCACCAAAACCGUCGAGUCUUAACCUUGAAAGUCGUCGUUUCUCCCUCGACUUUGGACACUGUCUUUUCUGUCGCAACUGAAAUCUUCUCUACUUAUGUUGGUCACUGUGUCUAAAAGACAACCUAUCCUUUGUACUUUCUUUUUAUUUCGGACUCUCAUUUUCGUUACGAAGACAGCAAUUGAAACUUCUUUUGCGUCAAUAUCUACUUUUUCGAGGACGACAAACGUCUUCGUACCUCUUCCAAUGAUCGUUUCUCCGAAGUGAAAUACUAUGUUUACACUUUUUAUUGUGGUUCUCACUACGGUUUUCUUAAGUGUCCCUUGUUUUCUUCUUACGAGGUUGUAGAAGACUAGAAGACCUACAACUGUUCCCACGAGCAAGAAGACCACCUCAAUUUCUCUCCUUUUUGCUAAGAGUGAGGUUUAGAUCGGUGAGGCCCUUCUUUGGGUUUCGUUUUGGUGUAUCUCUACAGUCCCUGUCAAACGGACUGCCUAGGGUACCUAGGUCCCUCGUCCUAUAUAACCUCUUACCUCAACCUAACCCUCUCAACGUCGGUUUCCUUUUUAUAACCUAGUUUUCCCUAAGACUAAACCGACCCCGUAGUUUCUCCCUCUAAAGAAGAUCACGUUUCGUACUGUCUGUAUGUCGAAGACUCCUCGUCUUCUACGUACAUGGAGGUAGAAGACAUAGUUGACGUUUACGUCGAGGGCGUGAAGUUCGUGGACAGCACUAUCUCCUUGUAACCCAUGUUACACUAUAUACAGUCUUUACCGCAGAGGAUGGUAUACUCAGCCUAGGACUAUGAGAAGGUUUCCUUACCUUUACAUCGUACGUUGACACCGAUGGACCCUACUUAUCCACGCUACAACCACUCCUCCUCUGAUGUUUACGAGACUUACGUGAUAUACAGUAAGGUGGGGGACGGUUACCAUAAGGAAGUCAACCAGUAGGAGUACGACGAAGAAGACCUGACCGUUGUCGGUUGUGAAAGUCAUAUUUACCUGUACGACUUGUCUCAUCCUUUUCCUUCUCAAAAGGUCCACUACCUUCACGAAACCAACUGUCAAGAGUGGGUUGUGUUCGAAGUCGAAUAAGUUGCUAGUGGGUUGGGGGAGGAUCUCAAUCUUCAUGACGACUAUGAUUGGUGAUAGGAAGACUCUCUCUAAGACACUCGUUUAGUCAACUGCAAAGGUGACUUUUCUUCUUCAGGUUCUCGUUCUUAGCACCGUCGAUAAGACUACCUCCUCUAGAACACCUUUCUAGGUUCUUCGUAAGUUUUCCUUUUCCGUUCUCUCUCUACCUAAUACCACUUAUGUUUCGAAGAUUCUUUCAAUUUUUCCUCCUCGCCGUAGCAAGAUCGUCUCUGGCCUUGGGACUUACACUAAAUCGAUCACCUCUGCAAGGACUACUCCGGUUCCGAAAAGAACGUUUCCGUUUCUCAAACCCACUCUUCCCACUAUAAAGAAGUAACUUCGUUUUUUCACAACGCUCCAGACUAGCAAACCUCUUCAGGUUCUCUCUGUUCCUACUCCUAUAUCGAGAAGGACUUCUAUCCUUGUUCCUUGUUAUGGUUUGGAGUCUACAUGUUUCUAGUCUGCAAAGAUCGUUCUUCUCCUAUCACUUCCUUACCCUCCUCUCAGUCGUAUCAAGUUAUCGAGUCCACUCGUCUCCUUGGUGUCACUUAGUGUCGAGACGACGGUUCCUUUGGGUAUUCCUAGUUUUGAAUUUCCUUUGUUUCAGGUUCGGUUAUUUCAGACUUCUUGACAUAAGGUGCUGCCUAAGAUUUAAUCCUUUUCCAGACGUGAGAUUAGUCUAAAGAAGAAUAAUACCACCAGUACAUUUGUUACUUGAGCACCUCCUAUCGUGUGUGAAACGACCAUUUUCUCCAGGUAGGCUUCAUAAUCUAUUCGCUAGAAGACUUGUACGAAACCUGAAUCGACCUCGGCGAAGAUCACUACAAGGCUGGUGUCGGUAUCGAAGUUCAAGAAGUUUUCGAAGUCCGAGAGUCUUUUUCUUUUUAUUGAGGGUUCAACGUUUCUGAAGUGGCUAACUUAGUCAAAGGAGUAGUGGUGGCUCCUUGAGAUUGUAACUAUUCAAGAGGGUCUUGUCUUAUCACCUCUUUCUACCCGGAUACUUACGAUUGGGUCCGUGGUACGGAUCGAGUCAUUUCAUAGAUUUAUGACUUCAACUAUAUCAUCUGUUACAAGCCGUCCGAUUCUUCAGGUUCCUCUCGAACGAACGUUCACUUGGACAGAAUGUACCGAGAAGUGUUCCUUUAAGACUGUUUCUACUACUUAAUCAAGUCAGUUGAGUUCCAGUACGUAGACUUUCCAAAAGUAACUCUUUCCCAAACCUACUACUAGUCGUCGUACGUAGACCCUCUUUCCUGAGGUGACACUUACCGAGGUCGUGUCGCUCCCCAAUAUUGGUGGACGUAAGACCACUAUUUUUAUUGAACGCGUGACUACCGAGAAAUCACGUUGGAUCCUGACGUCGAAGCCCGAGCUUUCCUCUAAACUAACGCUCACUUUCAUUCUUUUGACGUCGAGGAUAGGUUCUAUCUUUACCUAAUUGAGUAACACGAGACCUACCUUUAGGAUUUGGUCUCCACGGUAGACCUUUUCUAUUUAGAAUAGGGUUCUCAUUGUUCGUUCUAUACCUCUUCGGGUUUCGGGUUUAACGGGGAAGUGGAGACUUUCUUUGGGUGAGAUGAGGUCAUUUUAGAUUACGCAGUUUUAACUGUGGUGUCAGUUCCGCUUCGUCACUACUUUUACCUCCCGUUGUCGCACAACGGUUUGUCCCUUGCAGCUUAGGAUGCCUACCCUUUCUACCAUUAAGUUGACGUAUACGAGAGUUUCUUCGAGCUCUAAAUUUCGUGUUCCGAUUGGCAAACUUCUUUCUUCCUUUUCUUGAACUUUCGUGUUCCGAGAUAAAACUCCGUCGGAAUUUUAAAGACGUACAUCGUAGUGAAGACCUUGGAGGACCAUAACUACCAGACUUUGUUCCGCUACGUCGAGUCUCGUACAUAAGACUAUGACGUUUUGAGACGUUGAAACAACCAGUACUUAUACUUUCCACGUUCUUCUACCGCCGACGACGAAAUCGUAUAUUUACACAACUUCAUCGAAUAGAGUUCCGACGUAUGAUGUUUAUGGGAUAACGUUCAUUCCUGGCCGUCCACAACGUCCGUCAACAUGUCUGAUGUGGUCCGCUUAGUGGUAGUAGAAGUCGUAGUCUGUAACUAUUGAAUUUAUUGUUACCUAAUAGAUUCUACCGGGGAAGUUUGUUCCUACGAUUAAGUGGGGUUUAACGACCCUUGGUAAAUAAUGACCGGCAAGCGUUAGUUGGUGUGGACUGUUCCAAUGAUCGAAUGUGUUUACUACAGUUAAGACGGAAACUCCGUUGAGCCUUUAGUGUCUACCGUUAACGAAGACGACGACCGUUGGUACUUUUCCCUCACCUACCAGAAAGAAGUCAUUUUUGUCAAGACCUAAAAUUGAAGUCUUCGCACUUACUAGAUGAGUCUGAACACGCCUAAAGUUACCUCAGAUAGUCGACGACUCUAGGGUCUUGUGUUCUUGUACUGUAGGAAACUCAUCCACGACAACCUACACACUAUGAAUAUGCCAAUAUGGUAAAGUGACAGGGGUUACACGACCAUAAUAAAUCACCUUUUCAAGUUAUCGCGUCUUGUGUAUCCAGAAUAGCAAAUCCGCACGACCAAACAUGUCCUUCACAAAACUCUAAGAUGAAUAAAACAAAGAAAUCACCGCAAGGUAAGAGUAUGUCAACGAUCGUAGAUGAACCUACUACACUUGUGACUUGUCAGAUCGUUCAUUCCGUCGGCUACUACCUAAAGUAACGAGCUGUGAACACUAUGAAACCUGUAAAACCCACCAUUGAGAGUCUAACGCGAAUUAUCCGUUUACGUGUUAUAAUGGGCCUUAGCGGAUGUACGACAUUUAAUACACCAGGGGUGACUCGACUUAAUACCAACUUCUCAUAGACAGCCAAAAGGAAACUCGACAAUGUUCUACUGUCACAACCGGUGAAUUGUCAAAACUACCCCUCUCCUGUAGUUACAGUUAAUUAGAACGAUUGACUCUUUUGUCGAUCACCCGCAAAGAAAAGGCCAGAAAUAUAUCACCGUACAGAAGACCUCUUUCAAGUUCGUCCAAAGUUUCUUCAUUGGCGAACCUGGUAGUGGACAACACAUACUCGUAACAUGUUUAAUAAAAAGUACAUGUUAUCCGAUUGGGCAAAAAAGCAAUAGCUAUGGUCUGACAGACAUGUACAUAUUGAGAUUUUCCGAACCUGAGGCCGGUUCAAAAUCAGUAGCAACAAGAGCGUUUAGAACGGUAAAAGUGUAAACCAACGAAUACAAUUCCAUCACAUCUUAAUUAUAACUGGUUGUUGCAAAACGUCUUACGUUCUAUUUGGAAGAGACAAGACAUGAAACAUCGUGGUGGGUCAAACUCAUUUCGCUACGCUCAACGACG
rnacentral:rRNA from 1 species